AUUUACAGCCAUACCACCCUGAAUGUGCCCAAUCUUGUCUGAUCUUGGAAGCUAAGCAGGGACAGGCCUGGUUAGUACUUGGAUGGGAGAAAUACCUCCUAUCGUUAGGC
rnacentral:rRNA from 1 species